UUCUGGUAAUCCUGAUGCUAACCCAAGGAAGAGCUGCAAUGCCAUCUUGAUCAGAGAAGGAGAUGAUGUGUGGGAGGAAUUGGACACUGAAGACGAGUUGGAGAUUGCAGUUGCAGAGAUGGUGUCGACCGACACCCUCCUGUGUCGAUCGACACCAUAGGGGAUGCUCUUCUCAGAGACGACUAAAUACGACGGUGUCAAUCGAUACCCCUCUAGUGUCGAUCGACACCAUAGGGGAUGCUCUUCUCAGAGACGACUAAAUACGACGGUGUCAAUCGAUACCCCUCUAGUGUCGAUCGACACUAGAUCCGGAUCACACCUUGUGAGGUGCAAGUACCUAUGCAGCCUGAGCCAGUCUACACUCCUGCUGUCCCCUAUCCGGGGAGGCGUCGUUCUAAGUACGAAAUUCACGCUGCUAAGUGCACAGCCAUAAUGGAGAAGAUCCUCCAUACUCUUCCUAAGGAUGCUUCAGAGACA
rnacentral:sRNA from 1 species